AAUAAUUUGAGGUUGGUUUGUAGAGACUUGGGAAAAGUUCACAAGAUCGGUAUCGUUUUAACACCUUAAAUCUCCUGAAUAUGAAAAUCAUUUUGAAUACUUGUUAUGACAUAGCCUUGAGUUCUCAUUUUUCUUAUAGCUCUUGAGUAGUUUAUUUCAGCAGUCAGCAUCAUCUCACACACACUCUAUGCAGAGAAGUCGAUGAAUAUAAGUGAGUGCUCCGAAGAAAGAAAAAAAGAAAAACAAGGAAUGUACCUUCUAAGUUUG
rnacentral:lncRNA from 1 species